CCGGAGCGCGCGGCGGCCUGAGGUCGCUGUGCGCGUGCUCGGCGCGUGCACAUUCACACACGGGCCGAGAUCGGGAAAGUGGGGGGAACCCAAACUCCCUCCGAGACCUCCUCCUACAGCGGCGAGCUAGAAAACGCGGGCCCAGGGUAGUGAGGAAAGGCAACGGAAGAGGGCGCUGCGGCCGGACGCCAGGAGCUGCUGUCCAGGACGCUGGUGCUAGGCACGAUCAGGAGUUGUUUCUUGUGUCCCAGGAGGACAUGGAAUGAUCAAGAGGACUGAAAAGAUCAGAGUGGCCUCUGAAGAUGUAAGAUCAGCAGAACUCUUGUGAAGGAGGCUGUGAAGGGAACUGCCGCAGGAGCAGGGGGAAGAUGAAGAGGAAGAAGGUGGAAUCUUAAGGUGGAGCAUGGUGCUUGCAGGCGAGAAGGGAGAAUAGCCUGGAAUUCAGUCAAGCAGUGCAGUUGAGGCAAAUCCACUGUCAGUUCAAUUCCCUCCUGGACUACUAGCAAAACCUCACAGACUGGGGGCUUAAACUGCAGAGUUUGCUUCCUGCAGC
rnacentral:lncRNA from 1 species